UGGCACUCACCUCGGCGGCGUGCGGCGGGCUGCGGACGCUACCGGUCAGGGCGGCAUGGUGGCCCGGGUCCCCGCCCCGGCUGCUGCUUUUAUGCAACUGGCAGCGGCUCCUGCCUUGUGGCCUGGAGGGGAAACAGCCCGCUCCGCCCCCGUCCCCGAAAUGACGCGGCUCCGCCCGGCCGCCCCUUCCCCGCCCAGCCCGGCUGCACCCCCUCUUCCCCGGCGCUGAGAGGCUGGGCCUGAGGAGGAGCACCGGGGCCUGGGCUGCCCUGCCCUGCUCGGCCCGGAGAGGAAGGCCGGAGGCGCCGCGGGGGAGAAGCCCAGCCCCGACGAACACCAUGUCUGAAAUGCUGUACAGCAGAGGAGACAUCUAGUGGCUGGGUAGCAUGCUGCAAGAAAACAUUACAGCUUAAAGCAACAGGGGACGAGAGCUAAGGAACGUUCUAACACCCCUACUCUACUUGCGCUACAUUGAUGGCAUCAUCGUCUGAACCCAUGGAAAAGAAACCUUCGAGGAAUUCCACCAUGACUUUAACAAUUUCCAUCCCACCAUCAACCUCAGCCUAGACCAAUCCACACAAGUGGUCCAUUUCCUAGACACUACUGUGCUAAUAAGUGAUGGUCACAUAAACAUGCCAUAUACUGGAAACCUACUGACCGCUAUACUUACCUACAUGCCUCCAGCUUCCAUCCAGGACACACCACACAAUCUAUUGUCUACAGCCAAGUUCUAAGAUACAACCGCAUUUGCUCCAGUCCCUCAGACAGACACAAACACCUACAAGAUCUCUGUCAAGCAUUCUUAAAACUACAAUAUCCACCUGCUGAAGUGAAGAAACAGAUUGACAGAGCCAGAAGAGUACCCAGAAGCCACCUACUACAGGACAGGCCCAACAAAGAAAAUAACAGAAUGCCACUAGCUGUAACCUUCAGCCCCCAACUAAAACCUCCCCAGCAAAUCAUGAAAGAUCUACAACCUAUCCUGAAAGAUGAUCCCUCACUCUCACGGAUCUUGGGAGACAGACCAGUCCUCGCUUACAGACAGCCUCCUGACCUGAAGCAAAUAUUCACCAGCAACCGCACACCAUACAACAUAAACACUAACCCAGGAACCUAUCCUUGCAACAAAGCCCAAUGCCAGCUCUGUCCACAUAUCUAUUCAAGUGACACCAUCAUAGGACCUAAUCACAUCAGCCACGCCAUCAGGGGCUCAUUCAUCUGCACAUCUACCAACGUGAUAUAUGCCAUCAUGUGCCAGCAAUGUCCCUCUGCCAUGUUCAUUGGCCAAACCAGACACUCUCUACACAGAAGAAUAAAUGGACACAAAUUUGACAUCAGGAAUCAUAACAUUCAAAAACCAGCGGGAGACCACUUCAACCUCUCCAACCACUCAGUGACAGACUUGAAGGUGGCAAUUUUGCAGCAAAAAAACUUCAAAAACAGACUCCAAAGAGAGACUGAAC